rnacentral:rRNA from 1 species
UACGUAGGGCGCAAGCGUUAUCCGGAAUUAUUGGGCGUAAAGAGCUCGUAGGCGGUCUGUCGCGUCGGAUGUGAAAGCCCGGGGCUUAACUGGGGAGGGUCACUCGAUACUGAUCGACUCGAAGGCAGGAGAGGGAAGUGGAAUUCCCGGUGUAGUGGUGAAAUGCGUAGAUAUCGGGAGGAACACCAGUGGCGAAGGCGACUUCCUGGCCUGUUCUUGACGCUGAGGCGCGAAAGCUAGGGGAGCAAACGGGG